CCUACGGGGGGCAGCAGUGAGGAAUAUUGGUCAAUGGGCGAGAGCCUGAACCAGCCAAGUCGCGUGAGGGAGUACUGCCCUAUGGGUUGUAAACCUCUUUUGUCGGGGAGCAAAAGCCGGACGUGUCCGGCUGUGAGAGUACCCGAAGAAAAAGCAUCGGCUAACUCCGUGUCAGCAGCCGCGGUAAUACGGAGGAUGCGAGCGUUAUCCGGAUUUAUUGGGGUUAAAGGGUGCGCAGGCGGAUUUUUAAGUCAGCGGUCAAAUCGUGGGGCUCAACCCCAUCCAGCCGUUGAAACUGGGGAUCUAGAGUGUGCGAGAGGUAUGCGGAAUGCGUGGUGUAGCGGUGAAAUGCAUAGAUAUCACGCAGAACCCCGAUUGCGAAGGCAGCAUACCGGUGCACAACUGACGCUCAGGCACGAAAGCGUGGGUAUCGAACAGGAUUAGAUACCCGGGUAGUC
rnacentral:rRNA from 1 species